GGUUCACUUCCUAUAGGGACUGAAAACCAAAUGAGGAGAUGGAUUGCACAUACCACACCAGAAAAUACAGAUAGAUAAACACUGCAAAUAGAUGCUGACCAUCACCCAAGGAAUAACUGCACAACUCUGGGAAGACAUCCAGUCCCUUCACAGCAUUGCUUAGCACAGAGAAGGUUGGUCAGUGAAACCAUCAUCUGGAAAUCGCUUGCAUCUGUGGAGUUUUGACAUAUCAACAGAUCUGAAACUGGUCAGUGGUGUUGAGCCUUCCACCAGAAACAAUCUUUCGAGGGGUUCGGUGUGGGUGAUUGGUCAGGGUAAGGCUGGGAAUAAAUGUGAGUGGCUUGAAGUAUGA